AAAAAGCGGCACCAUAACCAAGACUUAGUAUUGAUUCUUCUGGAGCUCUAACUAUAAAAAGAAACUAAAGAUGUUUUCUCUGAGCUUUUGUCCUGUAAAAAUGGCCAGAGGGAAACCAUCGGCCUUCACUAACAAAUCUUCAGUUUCUGAGCGUCGAGGAACUGGCCCCAAGUGGGCAAGUUUGCUGGCAGCAGGCACAGAGAGUUACUCUUAAUGAGACAACCCAAUCAAGCACUACCACAAAGGCCUCUGAUGACACUGGCUGCUCUGAGGACAAUGUCUUGUACAGGGACAGAGAACAGUGGAGGAGAUUCCAGAAAUAGGAAGGAAAAAAGAUAAACUGGAAGCUGGUGGCAGUGGCGUUUGAGGAAGUCCAGGAGGGCCAGGCAAGCCAGGGAGGCCAGGAUUGCCCAGAGAACCCUGAAAAACAAACAUGGAGUCUCCUGAAUCACUGUUACGGCAACACCGUAAGCACACAAGACACACAACCUCGGGUGUGUUGACUCCGGUCUUAAAUAAAUGUGCUGUGGUUGGUGUAGCUCUGCUCCUCAAAUGUGCCUCUCCCACACUCUCAGGAAGAACUAGGCCAGUCCCUCCACCAGCUCUGCCCACCUCUGAGGUCCUCACCUCCCAGGUCUGCGCCCCUCCCAACAGUGAGCUCUUUCAGUGGGGCCAGGACAUUGUCGUGCUUCUCUGUGUAAACAAGCCCUACUCCGAAAAGUCAAAGGCAGCAUUCAUGCAUGCUUCUCUUCAAUUUCAAGAACAACCAGAGGUCAAAUGUAGCACUUAAUGUCUCUCCUCAUUUCAAAAUGUGUGCUACAAACCAUACUGAUUCAAAUACCCUCUGAUGGUAUCCUAGAUGUAAUGUGAAAUUUCGCAUUUACAUUUUCACACAUUCACAUCACAAUAGAAAUCAAGCACGGAUGAUUAAAAUCACUUUGUGCAUUGUU